rnacentral:rRNA from 1 species
GACGAACGCUGGCGGCGUGCUUAACACAUGCAAGUCGAACGAUGAAGCCCAGCUUGCUGGGUGGAUUAGUGGCGAACGGGUGAGUAACACGUGGGCAACCUGCCCCAAACUCUGGGAUAACUCCUCAAAAGAGGUGCUAAUACCGGAUACGAACUAGGUAGACAUCUGCACUAGUUGGAAAGUUUUUCGGUUUGGGAUGGGCCCGCGGCCUAUCAGCUUGUUGGUGAGGUAACGGCUCACCAAGGCUACGACGGGUAACCGGCCUGAGAGGGCGACCGGUCACACUGGGACUGAGACACGGCCCAGACUCCUACGGGAGGCAGCAGUGGGGAAUAUUGCGCAAUGGGCGAAAGCCUGACGCAGCGACGCCGCGUGAGGGAUGAAGGUCUUCGGAUCGUAAACCUCUUUCAGUAGGGACGAAGCGAAAGUGACGGUACCUAAAGAAGAAGCACCGGCUAACUACGUGCCAGCCGCCGCCGUAA